rnacentral:rRNA from 1 species
GACGAACGCUGGCGGCGUGCUUAACACAUGCAAGUCGAACGGAAAGGCCCUGAUUUUGUGGGGUGCUCGAGUGGCGAACGGGUGAGUAACACGUGAGUAACCUGCCCUUGACUUUGGGAUAACUUCUGGAAACAGGGGCUAAUACAGGAUAGGAGCUCCUGCUGCAUGGUGGGGGUUGGAAAGUUUCGGCGGUUGGGGAUGGACUCGCGGCUUAUCAGCUGGAUGGGGGGGUAGUGGCUUACCAAGGCUUUGACGGAUAGCCGGCCUGGGAGGGUGACCGGGCACAAUGGGACUAAGAUACGCCGCAGACUCCUACGUGAGGCAGCGGUGGGGAAUAUUGCACAACGGGCGGAAGCCUGAUGCAGCGACGCCGCGUUCGGGAUGACGUCCUUCGGGUGGUAAACCGCUUUCGCCUGUGACGAAGCGUGAGUGACGGUAAUGGGUAAAGAAGCACCGGCUAACUACGUG